GGGGAAUAUUGCACAAUGGGGGAAACCCUGAUGCAGCGACGCCGCGUGGAGGAAGAAGGUCUUCGGAUUGUAAACUCCUGUUGUUGAGGAAGAUAAUGACGGUACUCAACAAGGAAGUGACGGCUAACUACGUGCCAGCAGCCGCGGUAAAACGUAGGUCACAAGCGUUGUCCGGAAUUACUGGGUGUAAAGGGAGCGCAGGCGGGAGAACAAGUUGGAAGUGAAAUCCAUGGGCUCAACCCAUGAACUGCUUUCAAAACUGUUUUUCUUGAGUAGUGCAGAGGUAGGCGGAAUUCCCGGUGUAGCGGUGGAAUGCGUAGAUAUCGGGAGGAACACCAGUGGCGAAGGCGGCCUACUGGGCACCAACUGACGCUGAGGCUCGAAAGUGUGGGUAGCAAACAGGAUUAGAUACCCUGGUAGUCCACACCGUAAACGAUGAUUACUAGGUGUUGGAGGAUUGACCCCUUCAGUGCCGCAGUUAACACAAUAAGUAAUCCACCUGGGGAGUACGACCGCAAGGUUGAAACUCAAAGGAAUUGACGGGGGCCCGCACAAGCAGUGGAGUAUGUGGUUUAAUUCGACGCAACGCGAAGAACCUUACCAAGUCUUGACAUCCCUUGACAGACAUAGAAAUAUGUAAUCUCUUCGGAGCAAGGAGACAGGUGGUGCAUGGUUGUCGUCAGCUCGUGUCGUGAGAUGUUGGGUUAAGUCCCGCAACGAGCGCAACCCUUAUGGUCAGUUACUACGCAAGAGGACUCUGGCCAGACUGCCGUUGACAAAACGGAGGAAGGUGGGGAUGACGUCAAAUCAUCAUGCCCUUUAUGACUUGGGCUACACACGUACUACAAUGGCGUUAAACAAAGAGAAGCAAGACCGCGAGGUGGAGCAAAACUCAGAAACAACGUCCCAGUUCGGACUGCAGGCUGCAACUCGCCUGCACGAAGUCGGAAUUGCUAGUAAUCGUGGAUCAGCAUGCCACGGUGAAUACGUUCCCG
rnacentral:rRNA from 1 species